UACGUAGGGUGCAAGCGUUAAUCGGAAUUACUGGGCGUAAAGCGUGCGCAGGCGGUUUUGUAAGUCUGUCGUGAAAUCCCCGGGCUUAACCUGGGAAUGGCGAUGGAGACUGCAAGGCUAGAGUUUGGCAGAGGGGGGUAGAAUUCCACGUGUAGCAGUGAAAUGCGUAGAGAUGUGGAGGAACACCGAUGGCGAAGGCAGCCACCUGGGUCAAAACUGACGCUCAUGCACGAAAGCGUGGGGAGCAAACAGG
rnacentral:rRNA from 1 species